UUGAAAGGGAAACGAUUGAAGUCAGUCGUACCUGCGGGUAAUCAGCCUUUGGGCAUGAUUCUGUGGAGCGUGAGGAGUUAAACGCCUUCAUGCCUGCAUAUUCGUGUACUUUGGGUGUACUUGCCUGUGUGGUUAGUUAACAUCAAUUUUGGUUAUCAUAAAAUGGCUGGAGGAAUGUAGCUUCGAUUUCGAUUGAAGUGUUAUAGACUUCGGCAGAUGUGAUGAUCGGGAUUGAGGAUUGCAACGGAUACCCUUCGGGGCUACCUAUCUGAUCUCUGAUCGUUGCUCUGGUGCCGAAAGCGUGCUUACGGUUAUCAAAGUCGAUGGUUAAUAGGUUAGAAUGGGUUAAAUUCGUUAAGGAUGUUGACGUA
rnacentral:rRNA from 1 species